CAGAUCCACAUAUAGUGGGUAGAAGCUCUGUCUACCAUGCAAUUACAGCCAGUGGAAAGAUGGAGACUGUGCAGGCUCAGAUGUUUAGGAAAGGGAGAAAAGCUGUUCAGGUACCACUUCUGAAAAUCAUUGAAGUCCAACAGAAAGACAAAAGUCUGGAUCACCAGUGAUGGGCCAGGAUGCAGAGGAUGACAUUCAUAUCUUUAAUGUCUGACCAAGCUAUAGGAGCUCUAUAAUGCCUGCUUCAGCUGUCUUCAUGGCCAUUGGAACAAUUUGUUCUAAUUAGCCCAUUCUGCAAGGAGAAAUCUUCAUAUGCUUGGAGUAGACAUCCAUCCUCAAUCAUUGACAGUGACCUUCAACUUGGCUUAGCUGAUCAGCUGAGAUGGUUUUAUUGGGAUGUGACCACUAUAUAUGCUACAGCUUCCUGGAGCCAAAAAUUAGUUAGGUUACAAGUAGACACUAAAGGUAGAUGAGCAGCCCUAAAAAAGACUUGAUAAGCCUUCAUACCAGAGGUAUUAGUUCUCCCAGAGCACCUUAUACACCCCCUACUACACAGACACAAAUAGAAUAUUACCUAGUUUUCUUCUGAUAUAACAGAAUUAGAGUGCAGAGACAUGUUACAUAUAAUACAUGCAUGUGUAAUAGAAUCCACAUGUAUACUUAUAUGUAUUCACAUAUCAGGUGCACAUGUACCUGAUAUAUAGCUAAUGCAUAUGAUAAAGAACAUAUUUUCUCUGGCAUAAUGUAUAUAAAUGUGAACAUGCAUGCAUAUUAAUGGUAUGUAGAGGGAAUUUGUCUUAUUUGCCUGUGAAUAUUUAGUACAAGAAAGUUGUCUUUCUUUUCUUUUUCCCAUGAGGCUGAUGAGGAGAUGAGGAGAGAAAAAAAUGUAUUAAUUAAAAGAAAUAAAAAGUUGAAGAGAUUGUACAGAUAUGAAAUAUAUUUUCAGAUGAAGUCAUUAUAUUGUUAAUUUUACUUUAAUGAUUUACUUUUUUGCAAGAGACUUCUCAUGAAGUAGGAGUAAUGUGUAAAUGUUGGUAACACAAGAAUAAAAUACAUAAAUAAAACUUAAAAUUUCAAGGAAUCACAAAGUAAUUUGAAUAAUGGUUCAAGUUCUUAUUUCAACACAAGUUUUCUGACUACAGAUCUAUUGCUUCUACUGUAUCACUACCAUAUAUCCUUCUAUUGUAACUAUUUUGAGAGUCAAGAUUCAUUUGAAUGCUUAUUUAUUAAAUAUUGUUUUGAAAAAUAGUUGUUACUUUCUGUUUUUACUCAUAUUUACAUAUAUGCCAUAUGUAGCAAUUAAUGUUCAAUAAGAGGCUAAUGCCUAAACACAGUGUGUCGUAGGAGACAGAGGACUGGAUUUGGAAUCAGGAAGAUCUGGAUGUGAAUUCUGUGCCUGACAAUUAUUAAAUGUAUGACCCAGGGCAAAUUAACAAUUUUGACCUUUAAUUUCUUCACAUCUAAAAUGAGGACAAUAAUACCAUCUACCUCUAAAGGUUAUUGUGAUAAUGGGAUAAGAUAAUAUGCAUAGGGAACAUGGCAGACCUCAAAGUAAUAUUAAGAGAAUUUUUGAGCCAUUGAUGUUAUUUUAACAUUAUUUGGAAGGACUGACUAAUAUAAAUUUAAACUGAAAAGGGGCACUCAUCUGCUUGAACUAUGAAAUUUUUGAUUAUUAGUUCAAUCAGGAAGGAUGCAGUUAUGAAAUUAGAAGGGCAUUUAAAAUUUAAGUGAAUAUAUUCUGCUCUUUUGAUUUACAUUAAUUAUUCACCUCAUGCUAA
ensembl:lncRNA